rnacentral:misc_RNA from 1 species
GUGAACUUAUCUCUAUUUCAGUUCAGUCUUAUUGCUCGAACUCGAAGUUUUGCAAGCGUGAUCCCUUUGUCUAGCAUUUGGGAUAAUGUUGACAGCAGCGAAGACAUUCUUUCUACUCGGUUGAACAAUUUUUUGCCUUUUCCAACCGGCUCAAAUGAGAGCAGAAAAUUCUGGAGAAACAUUGCAGCUGUGUUUCUGAAAUUAUCUUGCAUCCUACAAUCUAAUGAAGGCCUCCAGCUACACAAAUGACCCCAUGAGGUAUCAUGCGGAGGACUACCUUCCGACAUUUUUGCUUCCUGAAAUCACAAAGCUACCUUGUGAAGAAAAUCACCAUAAGAGCAAGUGGAACUGGAGCCAGCAAAUUUAAUGCAAUCAACAAGUUCUUCAAGUGCAUCAGGUCCACCAAGAACUUGCAAAUG